CAUUUUUAUAUCAGAACUUCAAUAGGACUCAGACCUAUAAAAGAGACAGCUUCUGAGACACUUGUUUACCUCCCUGAUCUCCUCGCAACCUCUCUGGUGUGGCUUGUGGUACAAUAUCCCUUGAUAUUGGGAGGGUCAUACGAGAGCUGUUAGUUUGAAGGACAAAUUAUUGACUGCGGACAUCUCACUGAAAACUGUCCAGACACAGAGCUACAUCACUAUACAGAAGAAAGUAACAUCUUUAGAUUGAACUACACUCACCGGACUAUGAAAUUCUCUAUGUGUUUAGUUUAAUAAAUAUUUUAUUUUAGUUUUAGUUUUUUCUGCUUUUUCAUGGAUGGGGGGGUGAUUUACUGAGCGUGACUUGAUAAGUGGUUGUCGAUGGCAACACUCAUAGGUUAUUUUUUCAUCACUACCUUUAUUUACU